CCCCCACACACACACACACACACACACACACACACACACACACACACACACACACACACACACACACACACUACGUAGGCCGUCGCUGUAAAUAAGAAUUUGUUCUUAACUGACUUCCCUAGUUAAAUCAAGGUAAAAUAACAAUGUAAACAUACACGCACACACAAAUUAGUCUUCAUGGAGGGUUUGAGCAUUAUUCUACAGGGGAUAUUGCCUGGAGUGACACCGCCACCUAGUGGUCUAAUGGCCAUGUGAAGGGACAGGGGUGAUGAUCUGGUCACGGAUCAACAAAGCAUCUCUGAAUAGGAAUGCUGAUCUAGGAUUCAUAUAAUCUUAUUCAUUAUUAUCUAAUAGGAAAAACUGAUCUUAGAUCAGCACUCUGAUACGCUUUGUGGAUACAGGCCCUAAUCACCAGACAAGCUUCUUAGUUCCUGGUUGAAGUUCAAUCCGUUUUUCACAAGGGGGCAAUGUUAAGGUCAAAAAUGUGAAAUCUGUCCGGUGUUACGGUGUUGAUAUGAUUGAGUGAUUGAUUAUCAGUCAGGGUGCACUAGUCUCUGAAAGUCCCCCACCUGUUGUAGAAUAGGACAUUGUAGCAGCCAUAAGGGCAAUGCAACAGAUUCAGAUCAAAGUCUUUAUUUACAAUGAAAAUAAAAUCUUAUUUAGACCUACACUCAAACUGAACAGCAUCAACAGUCCUGGGCCUGGCUCAGGUGAAGAGAUCACAUACUAAUUCAUUAUGAAUAACAGUGGCCUGGGACAGCCAUGUCCGAAUACCCGUGCUUGCAUUCUAAAUAGAAGCCUGGGCAUUUUGGGUAUUCCCAAAAAAUAAGAUUUAUAGUAGCCCAUGUGAAUAAUAUCUAACAUUUAGUAUGCUUUAAAUGCGAGGAUGUCAUACUCAUUUCAGCUUUUCAUCUUGCAGAAUUAGAGACGAAAGAGGAAGCGAGACAUCUCUCUCCCUCAUUUCUUUCUGGUUCAUAUACAGUCAAUAAACUAAGUAGACCAGACACAGCUGCUAUCCCAUUAGUGUCUAUGGGAGAGCUACCCCUUAAGUAGACCGGAAAUUGAAAAAUGUUUCAAUGGUAAACGGCCUUAGUGUGGCAUCUUUGAUUAAUCCACAAUCUUUCGUAGAAUUCGCUGACCCACAUUUUUCGAGAACCACAUGUCUGACGAUUAACAUAUAAGGCACAAGAGGCAAUGCUGUAACAUGAAUACAGUCACAGGGAACUGGCGUUGUUUGGCCUGACACACGUUUAUGUUUUUCAUUCACUUAUUUCAUUAACGUAUGUUUAGCUUCAGCUGCUUUCUCUGUAUUGAGUUGACACAACCUCCCAGUGUCAACUGUAUUGAAGUGAGGAGAAUCAUCUUUUUGUUUGUGCUCUUUGGACCACUAAUGCAGCACGAAUAGACAGUCAUUUAUACCCAUAAUCUCAGUAUUUCCUCAUUCUAAACUGUUUUUUUCCUGACCUGAGGAUGCACCCUGCAAAGAAUUACAAUAGCCAGGUUUCCAUCCAAUGUCAGGACAGGCCUGAUGGAAACCUACCUAUAGACAAUGACUCACAAUUCUCUGACAGACAAUCAUUUAUGUUCUAGGCAGCCUAGACAAUACAUUUCCAUCCAUACCAGGUGGCAUUGCCAAAGACAUCUUUCAUAACUUCUGCGUACCAGGUGUACUGUGAGACAUUGUCACACGCAGGUGAAAUAGCUUCUUUUAUUUAACCAGGUUGGCCAGUUGAGAACAAGUUCUCAUUUACAACCGCAACCUGGCCAAGACAAAGCAAAGCAGUGCGACACAAACAACAACACAGAGUUACACAUGGAAUAAACAAACGUACAGUCAAUAACACAAUAGAAAAGUCUAUAUACAGUGUGUGCAAAUGAAGUAAGAUUAGGGAGGUAAGGCAAUAAAUAGGCUAUAAUGGUGAAAUAAUUACAAUUUAGCAAUUAAACACUGGAGUGAUAGAUGUGCAGAAGAUGAAUGUGCAAGUAGAAAUACUGGGGUGCAAAGGAGCUAAUUUUUUUUAUAACAAUAUGGGGAUGAGGUAGUUGGGUGGGCUAUUUACAGAUGGGCUAUGUACAGGUGCAAUGAUCUGUAAGCUGCUCUGACAGCUGAUGCUUAAUGUUAGUGAGGGAGAUAUGAGUCUCCAGCUUCAGGGAUUUUUGCAAUUCGUUCCAGUCAUUGGCAGCAGAGAACUGGAAGGAAAGGCAGCCAAAGGAGGAAUUGGCUUUGGGGGUGACCAGUGAAAUAUACCUGCUGGAGCGCGUGCUGGUAUGAUGACCAGUGACCUGAGAUAAGGUGGGGCUUUACCUAGCAAAGACUUAUAGAUGACCUGGAGCCAGUGGGUUUGGCGACAAAUAUGAAGCGAGGGCCAGCCAACGAGAGCAUACAGGUCGCAAUGGUGGGUAGUAUAUGGGGCUUUGGUGACAAAACGGAUGGCACUGUGAUAGACUGCAUCCAAUUUGCUGAGUAGAGUGUUGUAGGCUAUUUUGUAAAUGACAUCGCCAAAGUCAAGGAUCGGUAGGACAGUCAGUUUUACGAGGGUAUGUUUGGCAGCAUGAGUGAAGGAUGCUUUGUUGCGAAAUAGGAAGCCGAUUCUAGAUUUAAUUUUGGAUUGGAGGUGCUUAAUGUGAGUCUGGAAGGAGAGUUUACAGUCUAACCAGACACCUAGGUAUUUGUAGUUGUUCACAUAUUCUAAAUCAGAACCGUCCAGAGUAGUGAUGCUAGACGGGCGGGCAGGUAACACUAAAAGGUAACACUUUAUAUGAAGGGGGUAUACAUAGCGCAUUAAUAACACAAGAAUCUAGUGGGAGUGAGCCCAAUGAUAGCUUGUGUUACUGUUACUGUUAGCCUCUGCUUAGCUAAAGCCUAGGCAUUAGCUUUUGGAGCAAAUGCAAGUCUUCAGGUCUCAGUCAAGGUUACUCAACAUGUUACAAUGACCAGGACCGGCUCCAGGCAUUAGUGACAUAAGCAUUCACUUAGAAAUUCAGUUGGGAUCUCAACUUACUGUUGAGAGUUUCAAUAGUAGAAUACCCAAGGUGCAAGCUCCAGAGUGGCACAGCAGUCUAAGGCACUGCAUCUCAGUACUAGAGGCAUUACUACAGACCCUGGUUCAAUUCCAGGGUGUAUCACAACCGGCUGUGAUUGGGAGUCCCAUAGGGUGGCGCACAAUUGGCCCAGCAUCGUCUGGGUUAGGGUUUGACCGGGUUUGGCCGUCAUUGUAAAUAAGAAUUUGUUCUUAACUGACUUGCCUAGUUAAAUAAAUAAACUCAAUAAGCCAUGUCAGCUAACAAUUUUUAGAUUGUUAAGAUAGUCUAGCCAGUUAUCUAAACUUGUAGUAAUCAUUGCCGAAUACUGACCGGGCAUGCAGGGCACGUGUCCAGGGGCCCUGACCUCGAGGGGGCCUGUCAUGCCAAAUAAUGUCCCCCAGCCGUUGCUAUAUCAACGGUGUGAUGACCUAAUGAUUCGAAUUUUGGAGAUCAUUACAGCCUAAAUUACAUUAUUUUCAUCAUCGCUAUGCAAACAAGGCUGAUUUCCGUGACAAUUUCGCUGUUUAAACAAGUUUUGUUUAGUUAAUAAAAUGAAAACGUCACUUCAAACUACUUUUGGGUACCUUGUUAACAUUACAACAUGAAAUCCAUGUCUUAAACGUUGCUACGUUUCGGGAAAUAGCAAAGAAAACAUGUAAUCUGCUUGACACAUUAAAGUUACUUACCUUACAGACCAGGAAGUCAGCUAAUUUCCACUUUUUAUUUUAACCUGCCCUUCCCUUAUCUACACUGAAAUAUAAUUUCAGUAGUCCUCUAUCUUGAUUUUAAAAAAUCUAUCUCGCAUAGCUCAUUAGUACCCACUAUUGUAGGUCCUAGGACACAACAAAUAAUAAUGUGCAACAAAUAAAUACCACCAAAGGAUACAUUACAACUUACAAUAAUGAACACCUUUUGAAACAGCUGUGAAAGCCAACCUGGCAAUAUUUUAAGAUUUUUAGACAAACUUUAAAAAUAAAUUGGUUCAGUUGUGUCCUUAACUCAUUUUCACAGAUUUGUUUGUACACUCACAUGGCAAUCCUAGACUAAAAUACUGAAUUCUGGUGUGUGGAAUAUAGAGUAGGUGGUUGCUGUGUGGGUGGGAGGUUCUGCCUGUCACUUGUUCUCAACAGGCAGAAGGGGGACUUGAAGCGGGAGACUGCAAAGUCCAGGCACUGCUGCUGCUCUCUUUGUUCUGAGUGUUUGCAGCGCUAGUGUUUUUAGUUAAUCUGCGUAUCAAAAAAAAUCGAAUCAAAUUUUAUUUGUCACAUACACAUGGUUAGCAGAUGUUAAUGCAAGUGUAGCGAAAUGCUUGUGCUUCUAGUUCCGACCAUGCAGUAAUAUCUAACAAGUAAUCUAACAAUUUCACAACAACUACCUUACACACACAAGUGUAAAGGAAUGAAUAAGAAUAUGUACAUAACAAUAUAUGGAUGAGCGAUGGCCGAACGGCAUAGGCAAGAUGCAGUAGAUGGUAUAGAGUACAGUAUAUACAUAUGAGAUGAGUAAUGUAGGGUAUAUAAACAUUAUAUAAAGUGGCAUUGUUUAAAGUGGCUAGUGAUACAUUUAUUACAUCCAAUUUUGUAUUAUUAAAGUGGCUAGAGAUGAGUCAAUAUGUUGGCAGCAGCCACUCAAUGUUAGCGAUGGCUGUUUAACAGUCUGAUGGCCUCUCUCGGUCCCAGCUUUGAUGCACCUGUACUGACCUCGCCUUCUGGAUGAUAGUGGGGUGAACAGGCAGUGGCUCGGGUGGUUGUUGUCCUUGAUGAUCUUUUUGGCCUUUAUGUGACAUCGGGUGGUGUAGGUGUCCUGGAGAGCAGGUAGUUUGCCCCCGGUGAUGCGUUAUGCAGACCUCACUACCAUCUGGAGAGCCUUACGGUUGUGGGUGGAGCAGUUGCCGUACCAGGCGGUAAUACAGCCCGACAGGAUGCUCUCGAUUGUGCAUCUGUAAAAGUUAGUGAGUGUUUUAGGUGACAAGACAAAUUUCUUCAGCCUCCUGAGGUUGAAGAGGCGCUCCUGCGCCUUCUUCACCACGCUGUCUGUGGGUGGACCAUUUCAGUUUGUCCGUGAUGUGUACGCCAAGGAACUUAAAAUGUUCCACCUUCUCCACUACUGUCCCGUCGAUGUGGAUAGAGGGCUGCUCCCUCUGCUGUUUCCUGAAGUCCACGAUCAUCUCCUUUGUUUUGUUGACAUUGAGUGUGAGGUUAUUUUCCUGACACCACACUCCGAGGACCUUCACCUCCUCCCUGUAGGCCGUCUCGUCGUUGUUGGUAAUCAAGCCUACCACUGUACUGUACUGUAGUGUCGUCUGCAAACUUGAUGAUUGAGUUGGAGGCGUGCAUGGCCACGCAGUCAUGGGUGAACAGGGAGUACAGGAGAGGGCUGAGAACACACCCUUGUGGUUCGCUCUUUCAGUUUUGCGCGAAUGCUGCCAUCAAUCCACGGUUUCUGGUUCGGGAAGGUUUUAAUAGUCGCUGUGGGUACAACAUCACGGAUGCACUUGCUAAUAAACUCGCUCACUGAAUCAGCGUAUUCAUCAAUGUUGUUGUCCGACGCUAUGCGGAACAUAUCCCAGUCCACGUGAUCGAAGCAAUCUUGAAGCUUGGAUUCCUGAACAGACCUGAGCACUGGCAUUUCCUGUUUAAGUUUCUGUCUAUAGGCUGGGAGCAACAACAUGGAGUCGUGGUCAGAUUUUCCGAAAGGAGGGUGGGGGAGAGCUUUGUAUGCGUCGCGGAAGUUAGAAUAACAAUGAUCCAGGGUUUUUCCAGCCCAGGUCGCGCACUCGAUAUGCUGAUAACAAGGCUCCCUACAUUUUUUCAGAUUAGCCUUGUUAAGAUCCCCAGCUACAAUAAAUGCAGCCUCAGGAUAUGUGGUUUCUAGCUUACAUAGAGUCCAAUGAAGUUCUUUCAGGGCCGUCGAUGUGUCUGCUUGGGGGGGAUAUACACAACUGUGAUUAUAAUCGAAGAGAAUUCUCUUGGUAGAUAAUGCGGUCGGCAUUUGGUUGUAAGGAAUUCUAGGUCAGGUGAACAAAAGGACUUGAGUUCCUGUAUGUUGUUAUAAUCACACCACGUCUCGUUAAUCAUAAGGCAUACACCCCCGCCCGUCUUCUUACCAGAGAGAUGUUUGUUUCUGUUGGCGCGAUGCGUGAAGAAACCAGUUGGCUGUACCGACUCUGAAAACGUAUCCCGAGUGAGUCAUGUUUCCGUGAAACAAAGAACGUUACAAUCUCUGUUGUCUCUCUGGAAGGCAACCCUUGCUCGGAUUUUGUCUACCUUGUUGUCAAGAGACUGGACAUUGGUAUAGCCUACCUCAAGCUGGUCCCCCUCCGACUCAGAGCACAGAGAAUCAGACUGAUCCGAACUCACUGGCUCUGGUGGAUGGGAUACCUCCUGGGGGGUUUGGACAGUCAGUGGUCCUAAAGUCAUUUGGAGAGUCAACAGGUGCGGCUCCCGUCCGUACUCGGUGGAGGUCUGGACGCUGCUGUUGUGUGGAAAGAUAAUUACCUUCAGGUUGUUCUCCCACCAUUCCUGGUUACCAUCAAGGGACUUGCCCAUGGCAGUCUUGAGGGUCUGGUUGGUCCAUUCACCAAACCUGGAGGAGGGGGUAGGAAAGCCAUAUCUAUUGACACUCUAAGAUAUUGAAAUAUGUCUGAUUAUGUACCAUGUAAAAACGUUUUUUUUUUUUUUAUAAAUAAAUAAAACAAAUGAUAGGUGACAUAAUAUAACCUAUAACAUCCGUACCUUGUUCCAGUGUUCAUGACCUCGGUCACUCAAGAUGACCUCAAGAGAACUGUGGGUGUUGCCUUCCCUGUGGCUCAGUUGGUAGAGCAUGGUGUUUGCAACGCCAGCAUGGUGUGUGCAAUGCCAGGGUUGUGGGUUCGAUUCCCAUGGGGGGGCCAGUACAAAAAACAAAUGCAUGAAAUGGAAUGUAUGCAUUCACUACUGUAAGUUGCUCUGGAUAAGAGCGUCUGCUAAAUGACUAAAAUGUAAAAAUGAAGAUGACCAUCAUCACCUUGGAGGUGACCUUGCCAGUUUAGUCCUUGAUGGGUAUCAUACAAAACAAAAAUGAUGUUGGGGUUCCAAGCACCCUUUUUAAAUGGGUUACAGAAGGGAAUUUAGAGUUAAGCACAUUCUCUUCCUUUGCUGACCUUAAUGGGUAUUGCCUCCACUCACUUGGUAAAAUGAUUGGUCGCUGUCAGACACCAGCUUUUGCCAUUCCUGGAUUUUGUGAAGGGUCCGAUGAGGUCCAACCCUAACAUUUAAAGUGUUAGAGAGAAUAUUAUUUUAUUCUUACCCGUAUCUGUGUCAUACAGUGUGCAAAUGUUCAUAUUUGUAAGGAUACUGACACACACACACACACAAAACACAUAUUCUAUAAUAUUGAACUCUGCUGUAGUCAAAUAAAGCAACCAUUACAAAACAAAUGAUCAGGGAACAUUUUUAAUUGGGACACUUACCGAUCAUGUGACAUGGGGAAACAACUUUGAUGGGAUUCAACUCCGGCGCCACAGUCUUCACCUUCUCAAACUUCUGGCAGGCUAGACAGGGUACUGAGCUUUAAACUUCUUCGGGAUCAGUGUCCCAUCCACGGGACGGUUGAGCUAACGUAGGCUAAUGUGAUUAGCAUGAGGUUGUAAGUAACAAGAACAUUUCCCAGGUCAUAGACAUAUCUGAUAUUGGCAGAAAGCUUCAAUUCUUGUUAAUCUAACUGCACUGUCCAAUUUACAUGAGCUAUUACAGUGAAAUAAUACCAUGCUAUUGUUUGAGGAGAGUGCACAAUUUUGAACAUAAAAAGUUAUUAAUAAACAAAUUAGGCACAUUUGGGUGGUCUUGACACAACAUUUUGAACAGAAAUGCAAUGGUUCACUGAAUCAGCCUAAAACUUUGCACAUACCCUGACACCAUCUAGUGGCCAAAAUCUAAAUUGCACCUGGGCUGGAAUAAUACAUUAUGGCCUUUCUCUUGCAUUUUAAAGAUAAUGGUACAAAAAAAGUACAAAAGAAUGGUUGGUUUUUCUUUGUAUUAUCUUUUAGCAGAUCUAUUGUGUUAUAUUAUCCUACAUUCCUUUCACAUUUCCACAAACUUCAAAGUGUUUCCUUUCAAAUGGUACCAAUAAUAUUAAUAUCCUUGCUUCAGGGCCUGAGCUACAGGCAGUUAGAUUUGGGUAUGUCAUUUUAAGCAAAAAGUGACAAAUUAAAACUUUGGUUGUUCUCUGAUAUGACAUUCAUUGAAAUCAUAAUAGUUUCAGAAAUAAUAGAAUGUGAUUGAUAAACAAAAGACUCUCUCACUUGCCCAGCUGUCCACCUCCUUGACAUUUCCCCAUCAGAAGAUGCGUAGGUUGAUUUUGGCAAAGCUGCGCUUUACUCCGAAAUGGCCAGCAUGCAUCUCGGUCAGCACGGCCUCCUUCUCCUCCUUAGUAAAAAUCACCCUCCUGUGUGGCUGCCAAUCCUUCCCCCGUAGGUACAUGCGAUUGCCUAACAAGUUGGAAGAGACGAGUACAUUUGCACUGCUGUCUUUCUUUCUCUGUUUCUCGCUUUCCAUCUCUCUCUGUCUUCCACUCUUCCCACAUCUCUUUCUCCCUCUCUCACUUCAUCCUUUCUUUCUUACAUUCUUCCUCUCUCUCCACCCCCCUCUCUCUCUCUGUGCUUGUCUAGCAAAGUUACCUAGUUAAGGGCAUUUGGAAUUACCAUAAUUGCUUACACCUAUCCAUUUGAUUGAUCAGGUUUAACUUAUAGCUAGAUACCUCAAUAUGACAGACAUAUACGUAUAUCAGUGGAGGCUGCUGAGGGAGCAUGGCUCAUAAUAAUAGCUGG
rnacentral:lncRNA from 1 species